rnacentral:rRNA from 1 species
AGAGUUUGAUCAUGGCUCAGGACGAACGCUGGCGGCGUGCCUAAUACAUGCGAGUCGUGCGGAGGACUUAAAGACGGAGGCUUCGGCCAAAGACUUUAAGUGCUUAGCGGCGGACGGGUGAGUAACGCGUGGGUAACCUGCCCCAUCGCCCGGGAUAACCCUCGGAAACGAGGGCUAAUACCGGAUGCGGUCUCGACACUCGCAUGAGCGUUGAGACGAAAGGAGCAAUCUGCGAUGGGAUGGGCCCGCGUCCCAUUAGCUUGUUGGUGAGGUAACGGCUCACCAAGGCGACGAUGGGUAGCCGGCCUGAGAGGGUGGACGGCCACACUGGGACUGAGACACGGCCCAGACUCCUACGGGAGGCAGCAGUAGGGAAUCUUGCACAAUGGGCGAAAGCCUGAUGCAGCGACGCCGCGUGAGGGACGAAGGCCUUCGGGUCGUAAACCUCUGUCCUUGGGGAAGAUGAUGACGGUACCCAAGGAGGAAGCCCCGGCUAACUACGUGCCAGCAGCCGCGGUAAAACGUAGGGGGCGAGCGUUGUCCGGAACUACUGGGCGUAAAGGGUGCGUAGGCGGUCGUUUAAGUCCUGUGUGAAAGGCCCCGGCUUAACCGGGGAGAGCCAUGGGAAACUGGGCGACUUGAGUGUCGGAGAGGGUUGCGGAAUUCCCGGUGUAGCGGUGAAAUGCGUAGAGAUCGGGAGGAACACCAGUGGCGAAGGCGGCAACCUGGACGAUGACUGACGCUGAGGCACGACAGCUGGGGGAGCAAACAGGAUUAGAUACCCUGGUAGUCCCAGCCGUAAACGAUGAGUGCUAGGUGUUGCGGGUAUCGACCCCUGCAGUGCCGCAGUUAACGCAAUAAGCACUCCGCCUGGGGAGUACGGCCGCAAGGCUGAAACUCAAAGGAAUUGACGG